CCUACGGGAGGCAGCAGUAGGGAAUCUUUCACAAUGGGCGAAAGCCUGAUGGAGCAACGCCGCGUGCAGGAUGAAGGCCUUCGGGUUGUAAACUGCUUUUAUAAGCGAGAAAUAUGAUGGUAACUUAUGAAUAAGGAUCGGCUAACUACGUGCCAGCAGCCGCGGUCAUACGUAGGAUCCGAGCAUUAUCCGGAGUGACUGGGUGUAAAGAGUUGCGUAGGUGGCAUAAUAAGUAGCUAGUGAAAUCUGGUGGCUCAACCAUUCAGACUAUUAGCUAAACUGUUAAGCUCGAGACCGCUAGGGGUAACUGGAAUUUCUAGUGUAGGAGUGAAAUCCGUAGAUAUUAGAAGGAACACCAAUAGCGUAGGCAGGUUGCUGGGACGGUUCUGACACUAAGGCACGAAAGCGUGGGGAGCAAACGGGAUUAGAUACCCCAGUAGUC
rnacentral:rRNA from 1 species